rnacentral:rRNA from 1 species
GACGAACGCUGGCGGCGUGCUUAACACAUGCAAGUCGAACGGAAAGGCCCUGCUUUUGUGGGUUGCUCGAGUGGCGAACGGGGGAGUAACACGCGAGUAACCUCCCCUUGACUUUGUGAUAACUUCAGGAGACUGCGGCUAAUACCGCAUAGGAUCUCCUGCUGCAUGUGGUGGGUUGGAAAGUUUCGGCCGUUGGGGAUGUUCUCGCGGCUUAUCAGCUUGUUGGUCGAGUAGUGGCUUACCAAGGCUUCGACGGCUAGCCGGCCUGAGAGGGGUACCGGCCACAUUGGGACUGAGAUACGGCCCAGACUCCUACGGGCGGCAGCAGUGGGGAAUAUUGCACAAUGGGCGGAAGCCUGAUGCAGCAACGCCGCGUGCGGGAUGACGGCCUUCGGGUGGUAAACCGCUUUCGCAUGUGACGAAGAGUGAGUGACGGUAAUGGGUAAAGAAGCACCGGCUAACUACGUG